GAUGAACGCUAGCUACAGGCUUAACACAUGCAAGUCGAGGGGUAACGAGAGGAAAGCUUGCUUUCCUUGUCGACGACCGGCGCACGGGUGAGUAACGCGUAUCCAACCUGCCCCCAACUAGGGAAUAACCUUGCGAAAGUAAGACUAAUACCCUAUAAUUUCCUCAGAUGACAUCUGACGAGGAAUAAAGAUUUAUCGGUUGUGGAUGGGGAUGCGUCUGAUUAGCUUGUUGGCGGGGUAACGGCCCACCAAGGCAACGAUCAGUAGGGGUUCUGAGAGGAAGGUCCCCCACAUUGGAACUGAGACACGGGCCAAACUCCUACGGGAGGCAGCAGUGAGGAAUAUUGGUCAAUGGGUGGAAGCCUGAACCAGCCAAGUAGCGUGCAGGAUGACGGCCCUAUGGGUUGUAAACUGCUUUUAUACAGGAAUAAAGUUAGCCACGUGUGGUUAUUUGUAGGUACUGUACGAAUAAGGACCGGCUAAUUCCGUGCCAGCCGCCGCAGUAA
rnacentral:rRNA from 1 species